rnacentral:ncRNA from 1 species
UUCAGAGAGCACACGAUGUUUCUCAAAGUCCCUUUCCCAUUAGGGAAGACAGUGAUGUCUUAGACACUGGCCCUCGUGGCGGCGACGUCUCAUUCGAAUGUCUGCCCUAUCAACUUUUGAUGGGACUUUCUGUGCCUACUAUGGUAAUCACGGGUAACGGAGAAUCAGGGUUCGAUUCCGGGGAGGGAAACGGCUAACACAUCCAAGGAAGGCAGCAGGCGCGCAAAUUACCCACUCCCGAAUCGGGAGGGUAGUGACGAA